rnacentral:tRNA from 12 species
GGUCGGGUAGCUCAGUUGGAUAGAGCAACAGCCUUCUAAGCUGUGGGUCUUGGGUUCGAAUCCCAACCUGAUCA